rnacentral:tRNA from 1 species
GGCCGUAGGUUCCCCUGGGAGGGAAGACUGACUGUCUAUCAGUUCGUUGAGGGUUCGAAUCCCUUUAUGGUCGCCA